rnacentral:rRNA from 1 species
UACAGAGGGUGCAAGCGUUGUUCGGAAUUAUUGGGCGUAAAGGGCGCGUAGGCGGUGCGGUAAGUCUGUAGUGAAAUCUCUGGGCUCAACUCAGAGUCUGCUAUAGAAACUGCCGUGCUUGAGUCUGGUAGGGGAGCACGGAAUACCUGGUGUAGCGGUGAAAUGCGCAGAUAUCAGGUGGAACACCGGUGGCGAAGGCGGUGCUCUGGGCCAGUACUGACGCUGAGGAGCGAAAGCGUGGGUAGCAAACAGG